GCCUGACAGGUCCUCGAGGCUCUCGGGUUGCCACGCAACUGUGGGCAAAGGAAAAAAGUUAACAUAUAAUAUAUCAUUACCAACAUUUUAAUCAAAAGAUAACAAUAAUACACUCCCUCUAAACGUCAGACAAGCUCCAAGUAAGUUUUCUUUCAAGCGGAUGUUACGUAAGCAUUUGUUAAAACAAGAGUUCAAAUAAUAUUCAUCAAUGUUAUAUUUAUAGUAUGUAUCUAUGUUUGUAUUAAUUUGCUUUUCUUUUUAAUUCGUUGAAUUUUUUUCUCUCUCUCUGCACCAAUUGUAAGUGUCUAUGUUUGGCCCUAUGGUUGACUGGUAGAGAAUGCCAUUUGGCAUUAAGUCCGCCAUUUGUAUAUUGUUGUAUAUAUUUUGUGCAAUAAAGUUUAAUUAAAAUAUAAUAAAUAAUAAUAAAUACAUUAUAAUGGACUAUAAAACUAAAUUAAAUUAAAACUUAACAUAAAGAAAGACAGAAACAUAAAAACCUAGUCAACAUAAAAACCGUUUUGACGACCGGUUUGGUCUAGUGGGUAGUGACCCUGCCUACGAAGCUGAUGGUCCCGGGUUCAAAUCCUGGUAAGGGCAUUUAUUCGUGUGAUGAGCAUGGAUAUUUGUUCCUGAGUCAUGGGUGUUUUCUAUGUAUUUAAGUAUUUAUAAAUAUUUAUAUAUUAUAUAUAUCGUUGUCUAACAUAGAUAUAAGAAGUAAGGAGAUUUAUAACGAAGCAUAAUUUCAACGAGUCUCGCUGUCUCCAACUGUCCCCCACCACAUCAUUAAAGGCGUGGCCAGACAUCAGACAACCAACUCACGCGCUGUGAUUGGCCAAACCGCGCGGUGUAGGAGCCUAGAGCGGCGGCACUAGAGUGAGGACAAUUCGAUAGAGCUAUCGAUAUUUUACAUGUUCUGAAAAUGACCUUAGAGUUUUGACAUAUUUGUUUUAAGUAAUAAUUGCCAUAGACUUAAUUUAUAUUCCUUUAAAUUUUUGACCUUAUUUACGAGCUAAGAAUUUUAAGGUACGUGUAAGGUAUAUUAGUUGAGCCAUAAGUUCUCUCACAAAGGUUUUUACUGAUAAAAUGUAAUACAAAGCUUUUAAUUUAAAAAAAAAACAUGUACCAUGAUGCGAAAGCUUGUUUAUGCUUAACUAAUCAAAUUGGUUUAAAUUUCAGUAAUUAUUUGAUGUAAUGUUUGUUUAAAUUGUUUACUUUGGGAUUGUCGUUAGACGCGAGCGCUUCAUUAAAAAAAAAGUUUCAGUUUAUUAUAGCAUAUUUCGUCACCAAUUGAAAGCAAUUCCAGCAUGUUAUAUAGUAAGUAUAAUGCACCAUUAAAUAAGCUUUUAUAUCAUAUGUACGAAUAAUAAGGAAACAGUAAUCAUAAUUAUCAGUAAAAAUCUUUCUGAUAGAACUUUUGGAUCGACUAAGUAUACAAUAUACUAUUAUUUUAAACAUAUUUAUAUUCUAUCUGUAACUGUAACUGGAAACAUUUUUCUUGAAAAUGAUCCGAACAAAUAACACUUUUCUCGCUCAUAAACUAGUUAGGGCCCUCUUCCUGUAGCAUCUAUCCAUUUUUCGUUAAUACUGGGAUUUUUAGGGAAACUGAAAAAAAUUGCAAUCAUGAACAUAUUUCUUUUUUGACUCACUGUAAACUGUACCUCUGUAAAUUCCAUUCACCACCGUUUCUUUUUCAAUUGUUUACUCUAAAUAAUUGUAUAUUAUUAUUUUCAAUUGUAGUAUUGUUUUUUUUUUUACUUGUAAACCUUAUUAUCCACCACAGGACAGGCUAUGCCUAGUGUGGGGGCCAGCAUAAAUGUAAUACUGUUAUUAUUUUAUUUCUGAAAUAAAACAUUUGUACAAUUGUACUUAAUUAAA